CCUACGGGUGGCAGCAGUGGGGAAUAUUGGGCAAUGGAGGAAACUCUGACCCAGCAACGCCGCGUGAAUGAUGAAGGUCUUCGGAUUGUAAAGUUCUUUUCUUAGGGAAGAAGAAAUGACGGUACCUGAGUAAGAAGCCCCGGCUAACUACGUGCCAGCAGCCGCGGUAAUACGUAGGGGGCAAGCGUUAUCCGGAAUUACUGGGUGUAAAGGGAGCGUAGACGGUGAUGUAAGUCUGGAGUGAAAGGCGGGGGCCCAACCCCCGGACUGCUCUGGAAACUAUGUGACUGGAGUGCAGGAGAGGUGAGCGGAAUUCCUAGUGUAGCGGUGAAAUGCGUAGAUAUUAGGAGGAACACCAGUGGCGAAGGCGGCUCACUGGACUGUAACUGACGUUGAGGCUCGAAAGCGUGGGGAGCAAACAGGAUUAGAUACCCCGGUAGUC
rnacentral:rRNA from 1 species